UGGUUUUGGCUGGGGUAGAGCUGAUUUUCCUAGUAGAUAGUAUGGGACUGUGUUUUGGAUUUGUGCUGGAAAUGUUGG